UACGUAGGGUGCGAGCGUUAAUCGGAAUUACUGGGCGUAAAGCGUGCGCAGGCGGUUCGCUAAGACCGAUGUGAAAUCCCCGGGCUUAACCUGGGAACUGCAUUGGUGACUGGCGGGCUAGAGUAUGGCAGAGGGGGGUAGAAUUCCACGUGUAGCAGUGAAAUGCGUAGAGAUGUGGAGGAAUACCGAUGGCGAAGGCAGCCCCCUGGGCCAAUACUGACGCUCAUGCACGAAAGCUAGGGGAGCAAACGGG
rnacentral:rRNA from 1 species